rnacentral:rRNA from 1 species
AACGAACGCUGGCGGCAGGCCUAACACAUGCAAGUCGAACGCCCCGCAAGGGGAGUGGCAGACGGGUGAGUAACACGUGGGCACCUUCCCUAUAGUACGGAAUAGCCCAGGGAAACUUGGAGUAAUACCGUAUACGCCCGAAAGGGGAAAGAAUUUCGCUAUGGGAUGGGCCCGCGUAGGAUUAGCUAGUUGGUGAGGUAAUGGCUCACCAAGGCGACGAUCCUUAGCUGGUUUGAGAGAACGACCAGCCACACUGGGACUGAGACACGGCCCAGACUCCUACGGGAGGCAGCAGUGGGGAAUAUUGGAAAAUGGGCGCAAGGCUGAUCCAGCCAUGCCGCGUGAGUGAUGAAGGCCUUAGGGUUGUAAAGCUCUUUUGGCGGGGACGAUAAUGACGGUACCCGCAGAAUAAGUCCCGGCUAACUUCGUG